rnacentral:tRNA from 1 species
CCUAACCAUUAAGAAGCUAUACACAGCACUAGCCUUUUAAGCUAGAGAAAGAGGAUUACCAGCCCCUCCUUAAUGGU